GAAGAAGAGAUUUAAUUACUUAUAGCAUUCUGGUAGGUAGAAUUCUUAAUCCUCUUUCCUCAAAAGAGGAUAUAUGCCUUAUAGAUACAGCGACCUAAUACACUGAUGCUUUAUACCUUUCAGGCUGAUGGGUCAUGAAAAAGCUAGGAGAGAGACCUCCCUUAGCUAUAAAACAAAUUCUAACCUCUCACUGCUUCCCUCUUCUGUGCAUUCGUGACUUCCACACAGAUCACCACUGCUGUACUUCUAGUACUUCCUAACCCUUGACUCCAGGCUCCAGGCAAUGACCCCUCCCUCAACCGCCAUUUGCUCCUCUGUGACUUGGCAAAUUUUACAGUUGAUUCUCCAGGCUAUAAUGACUUUGCCUUUAUGCAAUCACUUCAUUCCUUCAUUUUCCUUUAAGCUUGGUAAAAGUAACUUCCUUCAUUCCUUCCCUACUCCUUCCUUCCGCUCCUCACUUUGAGAUAGUUUUACUAUGUAAUACAAUUUGGUCUCAUGUUCAUGAUUCUCCUGGCUCAGUCUCUGAAGUACCUGCUUGAUUUUAAAGUCUUUCUUCACAAGAAGCCAAUAGGUCUGUAUCUAUCCUGCCCUGCUGCUACCUAUAAAUCUUCCUGAAAGUCUUAGAUCUCAUGACAGGAGCUACGCUAGACAUCCUGAGUUCCUUACACAGAACAAGGUGAACAACAACUUUGAUUUCACAAGACUUUCAUUGUAGCAGAGGUCCUACAGACAACUAAUAGCAAUCCCGGGAGGUCAGAAAAGGAAGCGGAAUGGCGGAGGAAAUGAACAUGUACUCAGCUGGAUUUGGACUCACUGAGUUGUCUUACAGUACUACCACUAUGCAGCCCUCUGCUCCCAGUCUGUGGACUUCUAGGGAAGAUGACAAAAUCAUCUUGAACCACCACAGCAAGAGCAGUCUCAGACUCUGGCAGCUUCUUCUGGACCCUACUUUAUUGUGCUGUGUUCUUGAACAGCUCUGAUGGAACAAGCCAUCUGUGAAGGUUAUUUAACUUGGAGCUGGAAGAGGGUGAGGAUGUGGAAAAAAUAAACCAGGCAGCCAAAGGAUGGGGCCAGAGAGAGAAGGCAGGUGGCAUGUUCAUGGGACUGUGUGCCAAGGCUGAGUGGGGUGGGACUGCAGAAGGAAUGGUGUGGAAAGGAGGCCAGCAAGAGAAAGGCAGGAACGCCCACAUCAUGGUCUCUUUUCCAAAGUGGGGUUGUGUUGCUGCAAGGGCUGCAGACCCUGGCUUGGUUUCCGCUUCUAGGAAAAUCCUGGGGUGUUGUGCCUGUGAGCAUACCUGCUGUGCCUUCUGAAAAGUCACCUACACAUAGCUCACUUUUGUGCUAGGCUUGAAUGUUAGACUAUAGAGUGACUUUAACAGGUUUGACAGCAAAGACACAGGCAAUGGCAACAGCAAAUGGGGAAAGUGUGGAAAUGUAUCAUGGAAAGGAUAGAAUUACAGAAAACAGGAACUAGAAUUUCAUGAUGAUCUGGGAAGAUACAUGGGUCCUGUUGUAUGGCAGGAUUGUAACAGCUUUUUAAGGAAAGACUGCUAUUAAGGGAACCCCCAAAAGCUGUUAUAAUUCUAAAUGAAAUAUUUUCUCACAUAAGAACACAUAUUGAGAAAGACCUGUAUUUUUAAACCUAAACAUCUCCACCUAUUUUCUCAUUUAAUCCUUAAUGAAAUUUUAUAGAUUAACCACUGUCACCUUCAUCUUUACUUUGGGGUAGGGUUUUCUUAUGUAGCCAGGCUGGCCUGGAACUUAACUUACUCAAGGAUGGUCUUGAGUAAACAAACAAACAAACAAACAUCAGUUGUUUAAUUGGGUUUUUGGCAAGAAACUCAGAACACCAAACUUGUGAGGAGUUGAGGAACACUUUGACCUUGGGCAGAAUUUUCAAGUGCACAGCUUUCUCAGCAGCCUUGCAGUGCUAUCAUCUUGCAUUUCACUCUGUCCAUGUCAAAGACCCCAGCUCCCUAGCCUCUGGGCUCCCUCAGUCUUGUCUUUCUGAAGGAAGCACCAGUGAAGGGUCUGGAGAUGGUUUACUUUACAGACCCCAGCUUCUGAUGUUUUCUACACAGAGAAACUCUGCAGAGGGACAGACAAGUAGCAAGCCACUGCUCAGCUAUGUUGGGAAGCUCAUUUGGUGGAGCCCAAUGAGGACACUCAGCAGCUUCCAUGGAGCUCAACCUUGAUCCACUGCUGUUUCUUUAUUCAAUCUGUGCUGUUGGCAGGGUGAGAGCAGGCUUUGCUAUAGCAACCCACAAUGAGUGGUGCAUGUUCAGUUUGAGAAGCACAUGAGAAGGACAUGCGCAUCUCUAACUAAACAUUUUUCAGUGUCGGUUUGGUGCUACAUACUGAUAGGACAGAAAGAGUAAAACUCUAUCAGUCUGUAUAGGGAACUCCUACACAGUCUGAGUUUUUAAAAUCAACAAGACAGAACUAACAGCUGUCGUGUAAGCUGAAGCCACCCUUGCUUCUAACAACACAGUCUAGAUAUUCAAUGUGAGACCUUCUCACGAUCUGGUGGCACUCCAGUUCCAAUCAGGUCAAACCCAAGCUGCUGAGUAAUGUAUAGCUGAAAAAUACACUAUACAUUAUAAAAAUGCACAUUAUAUCUUACCUUAGGUUUCUAGAUCUUUUGUUCCUUAGCCCUGUGGCCAAUUUCUGGUGUCUACUUUAGAGCCAUUGCCAUAUGUGACUCAUUUGAGCUCUCUAUUUAACCUUAUAAAUAUACUUAUAUAAAUGCCAUAUAUUUAUACAUACAUAAUACAUAUACUUAACAGAGUCACAGAGAUUAUCAAAAUCAUUUGUGAAGUACACGUCCUACUGAAUGCUCCAGAUCAUCAGCAGUGAGGCUCUGGAGCACACCCAGAAAAACCUAACAUGUUUAUUGCAACAGAGGAGGACGGGUAAGAUACCCUACUAAAGGCAGCAAAGAAAGCAGAUAGGAGAAAGAUGUGCUCAAAUCCAAAGCCUAGGAGUGGUCAGUUGCAACAAACUCCUCAGCCCGGUAGGGUGUUGAAGGAUCAAAGGCUGGGCACAAAGGAUUGUAUUUACAUAUCAGAAAAGCAUGUAACUAGUGUGUAUGUGCUCCAGCCUGCAUACUGCCUAGAAAGAGCUCCCAUACCGAUUCAACAAACAUCCCAUACCAAUGGAUUUUCAACCAUUUCAAAAGCCAGAAACAGUGCAUUUUUUUUUCCUGUGAAAAUGAAACUUUAACUUUGUGUAAGUCAGGUAUCUGUGCAUCUGAAAGCUGUAGUGCCUGUCUCAAGGACUCCACAGUUUCCACAGCAUAGAAAGUACAGUGGUGGUGGUGCAUGCCUUUAUUCCCAGCACUUAGGAGUCAGAGGAAGGCAGAUCUCUGUGAGCUUGAGGUCAGCGGGUCUACCGAGUUCCAGGACAGCCCAGCUGUCAAAAAACUACACCCCAUCCCAUCCCCACCCCCCAAAAAAGGAAAAAAUAAAGAUAUUUGAAGUGUUUCAGGCUGAUUUCAUAGUCCUAGGGUCUGCCACACGAGACCCUCUUUAGACUACACUCCCCAAACACUCUAAAGCACUUCACUGAGUACAUUUAUUGAAUAUGUGUUACACACCUGGUGUGGUAUGACAGUUGCUAUUUUAGGCACCAGGACCCCACCAGUGGACAAAACAAUGUUCUUCUUUCAUAGACUAAGAAUCAAGUGUAGAGAGAGGUGGGACUUACUAUAAGAAAGACAACACCGUGAGAAUGUGCUAGCAUCAAUGUAAGAUGGGCACGGAGAGGUUCUGAGAUGAGAUGCUAUUGAUCAGAAUUGCACAAGUGAGCCACAGAGCAGAAAGGACCUCUGAGUGUCCUCUCUAAGCAGGUCACUGGAGUAUCAGGAAGUCACACUGGUAGGUGCAUACAUGAAAGAAGGAAACGGUCUUUUCCAGCCCAGCUCCGUAAGAAGAGUCUAUGCAGCUCACACACCCACCACGCAGCUUCUGGAAGGCUUCCAUCACAGAGGAGAAGUCUAUGUUGAAUUUUAAGUUUGACCACAACUAUUUAAACUUCCCUAGACCACAAAUACAGCAUCUUUUGUGGUUUUGCUGGCACCAAGUAUAUAUUUACAAAUCUCUAUAUGUCUGCCUUCUAUUUAAUCUCUUACACAAGUGGCGAUGUCGUUAGCUGGACUUCACCUCUCUGCACCGGUCUAGAGAGCCCCAAUCAGGUUGGUCCUUGGGGGAAGAGGAUGUCUUUACAAGUAACAUUCAGGGCAUUCUUAGUUAAAUUUUUAUUACUGCAUUUCUUUUUAAACGUUAGUAAAGAGUCCAUUCCAAGUCUAUGUUUUGUAUUAUAAUGCAAGAAUAAAAGUUAUUUAAACUUUUUCCCACUAGAGUUGAGAAUAAAACUUAAAGAACUUUUCUAAUUAAAAAAAAAAAAAGGACAGGAUCUUAAUUUGUAACCUAGGCUGGCCUUGAAGUUGACACUUCCUGCUUUGGUCUCCUGAGUGUUAGGACUACAAAUAGGAGCAUUAUGCCUUGUUAAGUAAACAAAUCCUUACUUACACCAAAAAGCAACAAACAGGAAACAAUAAGCAGGAAAUAUAAGGCAUAAUGAGCCUCAAACUUCUAAACUCCGCUUUAUUCUCAUACUAGUUCCUGACAAUUAUGACCCACAUGAAAACUGAAAGAACAUAGGAAACAGCCCCUGCUUUCCUGCUCAGCCUUUGACAAGCUGUCUUUGGCACUAUAAGACCAUAAAAUUCUCAAAUUGUUCCUUGAGUUAUUAUUCCUAAUUCCAGGGUCAGUUAUAUAGCUGCCAAAAGGGGCAUGUGGCAUUUUUAUCAAAUGAAGGCAGCAGGUAGGUCAUCUUAAAUGGAGUGGAAAGCAAUGGCCCCUUACUUCACUUUAGGCAUCUGUCUCUGUCCAGUUCUUCCUUUGUCUUCCUGAGCCUUUGAGCUUUUGUCCUCACUCAUAGCCUGUGUGCCUCUGUGUGUGUGUGUGUGUGUGUGUGUGUGUGUGUGUGUGUAUACCAAGUAACAACAUUUAUAUCCAACAUAGAAAGACUUAAGGGAGACAUCUUCAUGAAUCAUUGGGUUUUUCCCUCCUGAGUUUUUGUUUGUUUGUUUUUUGAGACAGGGUUUCUCUGUGUGGCCCUGGCUGUCCUGGAACUCACUUUGUAAACCAGGCUGGGCUUAAACUCAGAGAUCCACCUGCCUCUGCCUCCUGAGUGCUGGGAUUAAAGGUGUACUCUACUAUGCCUGGCUCAUUUCCUUUCCUGAGUUUUAAGGGAGCAUAGCAGAUAUACUUGUUAUAAAGUAACAAGCCUAUACAUAUAAAUCCAUAUUAGGCAACUAUGGGGAUGGCUCAGGGAAUAGCACUUACUAUGUAAGACUGAGGGCCAGAGUUCAAAUUCCCAGCACUCAUGGACAUGCUACAGAUUCAUGUAAUUCAAGGACUCUGGACGGGAGGGUUAGGAGGGUUGCUGGAGCUUGUUGGCAAAGUGUUUUUAGGCCAUACAAAUACAUUCUAAGUGAAAUACCCAUCUUAAUAAAAUGAGCAGCCACCAUAAGAUAUUUAAACUGGAAACCUAGGAAUUAAUUUUUCUGCUUCUGACUUGGAAGAAGCUAAGGCACAACCUUUGGCCACCCAGAGUCACCGGAUACUUUUGCCAUGCUUACCAAACUUGACUUCAAGUUUUUAAUGUGAGGUGGCAGAUAGUAAGUCAGUCCUACACCUCUUACUGGUCUGCCCCAAGAUGGAUCGUCAAGACAACCAGAGACAAGAUAGGUCUGCAGAAGACUGUGGAACCAUUCAGAACAGACAGGCUCAGACUGAGGUAGCACCUUCUGCCUUUUUCCUGAUUACUGGGGCUCACAAGGUACCACUAGGAGAGGAGGAAAACAAGAGGAAAAAUGUUAAAUACUAAAAAGCAGAGUCGUCUGUCUGUUUUUGUGAGAAAGGCUCUAGCUAUGCAGCUUUGAAUUCAUGGUGCUCUUGCCUCAGCCUCCUGAGUGCUGAGAUUUAAGCCUUGUAGGAGAUAUCACUUCUGAUCAGAUUGUCAACACUGCUGAACAGAUUCAACACCGAUCCAUAUCCAGAGAACUUUCUGGAAUCAUUGAAGAGAGUAUGGAGCCUGCCUAUUCUAGGGGUGGCAAUUUUGAUGAUAUAUUCCCUGUAUUUAACAAGCUGGUCAUUCC